rnacentral:rRNA from 1 species
UAAGGAAUAUUGGGCAAUGGACGCAAGUCUGACCCAGCCAUGCCGCGUGCAGGAUGAAUGCCCUAUGGGUUGUAAACUGCUUUUGUACGGGAAAAAACCCCUGAUCGUGCAUCAGGGCUGAUGGUACCGUAAGAAUAAGGAUCGGCUAACUCCGUGCCAGCAGCCGCGGUAAUACGGAGGAUCCAAGCGUUAUCCGGAUUUAUUGGGUUUAAAGGGUGCGUAGGCGGAAUGAUAAGUCAGAGGUGAAAGCCCACAGCUUAACUGUGGAACUGCCUUUGAUACUGUCAAUCUUGAGUACAUUUGAAGUGGGCGGAAUGUGUUGUGUAGCGGUGAAAUGCUUAGAUAUAACACAGAACACCGAUUGCGAAGGCAGCUCACUAAGCUGUAACUGACGCUGAGGCACGAAAGCGUGGGGAUCAAACA